rnacentral:lncRNA from 1 species
AUAUAGAAAACAAAUGUUGCCAAAGAUGGUCAUAAGUCAGUAUCAGAAAGAUUGGGGGAAAAAUACAGGUGGUUAAAUGCAUCAAUAUUUGCAUUUGAGAAAUUAUUUCAGCAAUUGAGAGAAUCGGCCGGAGUGAUCUGGGGUGUCAAGAGUGAAAUGCUGUCAUGACAAUCUUGGAUAAGACAUCAGAAGCCAUGGCUUUCUAAAGAAGACUAAUUAUCGGUGCCAUAAAAUAAGAUGAAAGGAUUUUUGUACUGCC